UUUGUACUCCCUCCGUCCCAAAAUUAUUGCCUUAAAUUUGUCUAAAUACGGAUGUAUCUAGUUACAUUUUAGUGUUAGAUACAUCCGUAUCUAAACAAAUGUAAGACAAGAAUUUUGGGACGGAGGGAAUACUAC
rnacentral:pre_miRNA from 1 species